UCAGGAGUCUUAAAGAGAAAUAAGAACAGGUACUACUGUACUUAAACACCAUCUAAAGCUCUGCACCACUCAGGAGUCUUAAAGAGAAAUAAGAACAGGUACUACUGUACUUAAACACCAUCUAAAGCUCUGCACCACUCAGGAGUCUUAAAGAGAAAUAAGAACAGGUACUACUGUACUUAAACACCAUCUAAAGCUCUGCACCACUCAGGAGUCUUAAAGAGAAAUAAGAACAGGUACUACUGUACUUAAACACCAUCUGAAGCUCUUCACCACUCAGGAGUCUUAAAGAGAAAUAAGAACAGGUAGUACUGUACUUAAACACCAUCUGAAGCUCUUCACCACUCAGGAGUCUUAAAGAGAAAUAAGAACAGGUACUACUGUACUUAAACACCAUCUAAAGCUCUGCACCACUCAGGAGUCUUAAAGAGAAAUAAGAACAGGUACUACUGUACUUAAACACCAUCUAAAGCUCUGCACCACUCAGGAGUCUUAAAGAGAAAUAAGAACAGGUACUACUGUAC